UACGAAGGGGGCUAGCGUUGCUCGGAAUGACUGGGCGUAAAGGGCGCGCAGGCGGCUCUUCAAGUCAGAUGUGAAAGCCCCGGGCUCAACCUGGGAACUGCAUUUGAGACUGGAGAGCUUGGAGUUCGGGAGAGGAGAGCGGAAUUCCCAGUGUAGAGGUGAAAUUCGUAGAUAUUGGGAAGAACACCGGUGGCGAAGGCGGCUACUCUGGACCGAUACGUACGCUGAGG
rnacentral:rRNA from 1 species